GGGCGUAAAGCGCGCGGUAAGUUGGCUGAUAAGUCGUGUGAAAGCCCCCGGCUCCACCUGGAACGGCAUCCGGAACUGUUCAAGCUAGAGUGCAGGAGAGAAAGUAGAAUUUCCCGGUGUAGGCGGUGAAAUGCGUAGAGAUCGGGAGGAAUACCAGUGGCGAANGGCGGCCUUCUGGACUGACACUGACACUGAGGUGCGAAAGCGUGGGUAGCAAACUUNGAUUAGAUACCCUGGUAGUCCACGCCGUAAACGAUGUCGACCAGCCGUUGGGUGCCUAGCGCACUUUGUGGCGAAGUUAACGCGAUAAGUCGACCGCCUGGGGAGUACGGCCGCAAGGUUAAAACUCAAAUGAAUUGACGGGGGCCCGCACAAGCGGUGGAGCAUGUGGUUUAAUUCGAUGCAACGCGAAGAACCUUACCUACUCUUGACAUCCUGCGAAUUUGGUAGAGAUACCUUAGUGCCUUCGGGAACGCAGAGACAGGUGCUGCAUGGCUGUCGUCAGCUCGUGUUGUGAAAUGUUGGGUUAAGUCCCGUAACGAGCGCAACCCUUGUCCUUAUUUGCCAGCGCGUAAUGGCGGGAACUCUAAGGAGACUGCCGGUGACAAACCGGAGGAAGGUGGGGACGACGUCAAGUCAUCAUGGCCCUUACGAGUAGGGCUACACACGUGCUACAAUGGUCGGUACAAAGGGUUGCCAACUCGCGAGAGUGAGCCAAUCCCGAAAAGCCGAUCUCAGUCCGGAUCGGAGUCUGCAACUCGACUCCGUGAAGUCGGAAUCGCUAGUAAUCGUGGAUCAGAAUGCCACGGUGAANUACGUUCCCGGGCCUUGUACACACCNGCCCGUCACACCAUGGGAGUGGACUGCACCNAGAAGUGGUUAGCCUAACGCAAGAGGGCGAUCACCACGGUGUGGUUCAUGACUGGGGUGAAGUCGUAACAAGGUAACC
rnacentral:rRNA from 1 species